GCGGUAAUACGUAGGUGGCAAGCGUUAUCCGGAAUUAUUGGGCGUAAAGCGCGCGCAGGUGGUUUCUUAAGUCUGAUGUGAAAGCCCACGGCUCAACCGUGGAGGGUCAUUGGAAACUGGGAGACUUGAGUGCAGAAGAGGAAAGUGGAAUUCCAUGUGUAGCGGUGAAAUGCGUAGAGAUAUGGAGGAACACCAGUGGCGAAGGCGACUUUCUGGUCUGUAACUGACACUGAGGCGCGAAAGCGUGGGGAGCAAACAGGAUU
rnacentral:rRNA from 2 species